rnacentral:rRNA from 1 species
CAGUAGCCACGGUAAUACGAAGGGUGCAAGCGUUACUCGGAAUUACUGGGCGUAAAGCGCACGUAGGCGGAUAUUUAAGUCAGGGGCGAAAUCCCAGAGCUCAACUCUGGAACUGCCUUUGAUACUGGGUAUCUUGAGUAUGGAAGAGGUUAGUGGAAUUGCGAGUGUAGAGGUGAAAUUCGUAGAUAUUCGCAGGAACACCAGUGGCGAAGGCGGCUAACUGGUCCAUAACUGACGCUGAGGUGCGAAAGCGUGGGGAGCAAACAGGAUUAGAGACCCCAGUAGUCCCUGUCUCUUAUAC